AUUGAACGCUGGCGGCAUGCUUUACACAUGCAAGUCGAACGGUAGCACGGGGGCAACCCUGGUGGCGAGUGGCGAACGGGUGAGUAACGCAUCGGAACAUGCCCAGUAGUGGGGGAUAACGCGUCGAAAGAUGUGCUAAUACCGCAUACGCACUACGGUGGAAAGCGGGGGAUCGCAAGACCUCGCGCUAUUGGAGUGGCCGAUGUCCGAUUAGCUAGUUGGUGGGGUAAUGGCCUACCAAGGCGACGAUCGGUAGCUGGUCUGAGAGGAUGAUCAGCCACACUGGGACUGAGACACGGCCCAGACUCCUACGGGAGGCAG
rnacentral:rRNA from 1 species